GACGAACGCUGGCGGCGUGCUUAACACAUGCAAGUCGAACGGAAAGGCCCCUUUGGGGGUACUCGAGUGGCGAACGGGGGAGUAACACGUGAGUAACCUGCCCUUGAAUUCGGGAUAACUUCAGGAAACUGGGGCUAAUACCGGAUAGGAAUCCUUGCUGCAUGGUGGGGGUUGGAAAGAUUCGGCGGUUUUGGAUGGACUCGCGGCUUAUCAGCUUGUUGGUGGGGUAGUGGCUUACCAAGGCGUUGACGGGUAGCCGGCCUGAGAGGGCGACCGGCCACAUUGGGACUGAGAUACGGCCCAGACUCCUACGGGUGGCAGCAGUGGGGAAUCUUGCACAAUGGGCGGCAGCCUGAUGCAGCAACGCCGCGUGCGGGAUGACGGCCUUCGGGUUGUAAACCGCUUUCAGCAGGGGCGAAGCUUGUGGUGACGGUACCUGCAGAAGAAGCACCGGCUAACUACGUG
rnacentral:rRNA from 1 species